rnacentral:rRNA from 1 species
AGCAGCCGCGGUAAUUCCAGCUCCAAUAGCGUAUAUUAAAGUUGUUGCAGUUAAAAAGCUCGUAGUUGAAUUUCGGGAUCAAUCUAUCGGUCGUGCAAUAGUACGUACUGAUUUUAUUGAUUCCUACCUUCUGAUGAACUAUGAUGUCAUUAAUUUGGUGUCAUAGGGAAUCAGGACUGUUACUUUGAAAAAAUUAGAGUGUUUAAAGCAGGCUCACGCUUGAAUACAUUAGCAUGGAAUAACGAAAUAGGACGUUUGAUUCUAUUUUGUUGGUUUCUAGGAUCGACGUAAUGAUUAAUAGGGAUAGUUGGGGGCAUUAGUAUUCAAUUGUCAGAGGUGAAAUUCUUGGAUUUAUUGAAGACUAACUACUGCGAAAGCAUUUGCCAAGGAUGUUUUCAUUAAUCAAGAACGAAAGUUAGGGGAUCGAAGACGAUCAGAUACCGUCGUAGUCUUAACCAUAAACUAUGCCGACUAGGGAUCGGAUGAUGUUAAUUUUUUAAUGACUCU